AUUGAACGCUGGCGGCAUGCCUUACACAUGCAAGUCGAACGGCAGCGCGGACUUCGGUCUGGCGGCGAGUGGCGAACGGGUGAGUAAUACAUCGGAACGUACCCUGUUGUGGGGGAUAACUAGUCGAAAGAUUAGCUAAUACCGCAUACGACCUGAGGGUGCAAGUGGGGGACCGGAAACGGCCUCAUGCAGCAGGAGCGGCCGAUGUCUGAUUAGCUAGUUGGUGGGGUAAAGGCCCACCAAGGCGACGAUCAGUAGCUGGUCUGAGAGGACGAUCAGCCACACUGGGACUGAGACACGGCCCAGACUCCUACGGGAGGCAGCAGUGGGGAAUUUUGGACAAUGGGGGCAACCCUGAUCCAGCAAUGCCGCGUGUGUGAAGAAGGCCUUCGGGUUGUAAAGCACUUUUGUCCGGAAAGAAAUCGCGCUGGUUAAUACCUGGCGUGGAUGACGGUACCGGAAGAAUAAGCACCGGCUAACUACGUG
rnacentral:rRNA from 1 species